rnacentral:rRNA from 1 species
CUCAAAUUUGAAAGCUGGCCCCCCCGGGGGUCCGCGUUGUAAUUUGUAGAGGAUGAUUCGGCGAGGGCUCCCGCCUAAGUCCCCUGGAACGGGGCGUCAUAGAGGGUGAGAAUCCCGUAUGCGGUGGGCUGCCUUAGCCAUGUGAAUCUCCUUCGACGAGUCGAGUUGUUUGGGAAUGCAGCUCUAAAUGGGAGGUAAAUUUCUUCUAAAGCUAAAUACCGGCCAGAGACCGAUAGCGCACAAGUAGAGUGAUCGAAAGAUGAAAAGCACUUUGGAAAGAGAGUUAAAAAGUACGUGAAAUUGUUGAAAGGGAAGCGCUUGCAGCCAGACUUGUCCGCAGUUGCUCAGCCGGUCUCCUGACCGGCGCACUCUUCUGCGGCCAGGCCAGCAUCAGUUCGGGCGGUCGGAUAAAGGCCCCGGGAACGUAGCUCCUCUCGGGGAGUGUUAUAGCCCGGGGUGGAAUGCGGCCAGCCUGGACUGAGGAUCUCGCUUCGGCUAGGAUGCUGGCGUAAUGGCUGUAAGCGGCCCGUCUUGAAACACGGACCAAGGAGUCUAACAUCUAUGCGAGUGUUUGGGUGUCAAACCCAUGCGCGUAAUGAAAGUGAACGGAGGUGGGAACCCUCGCGGGUGCACCAUCGACCGAUCCUGAUGUCUUCGGAUGGAUUUGAGUAAGAGCAUAGCUGUUGGGACCCGAAAGAUGGUGAACUAUGCCUGAAUAGGGUGAAGCCAGAGGAAACUCUGGUGGAGGCUCGCAGCGGUUCUGACGUGCAAAUCGAUCGUCAAAUUUGGGUAUAGGGGCGAAAGACUAAUCGAACCAUCGACUACUAGGUGGUUAAGAGGUGGCUGAAAGUGCCCACCUAGUCCCCCCGUCCUCGGACGGGGGGGCGACAUCGCCAAAUUGCGGGGACUCCCUUAGAGCCUCUACUACCGCGGCCGGCCGAAAGGCGCGGUGCAGCACCGGGUUAAUUGCCUAGGGUACGGUAAAAAGGUAGAGGAUUGGGAAAUCCGCAGCCAAGCGCCUAAGUCCCGCGGGAUACGGCGAAGGUUCAGAGACUAGAUGGCGGUGGGUCCG